CAGCAGUAGCCGCGGUAAUACGGAGGGUGCAAGCGUUAAUCGGAAUUACUGGGCGUAAAGCGUGCGUAGGCGGCUUCUUAAGUCGGAUGUGAAAUCCCUGAGCUUAACUUAGGAAUUGCAUUCGAUACUGGGAAGCUAGAGUAUGGGAGAGGAUGGUAGAAUUCCAGGUGUAGCGGUGAAAUGCGUAGAGAUCUGGAGGAAUACCGAUGGCGAAGGCAGCCAUCUGGCCUAAUACUGACGCUGAGGUACGAAAGCAUGGGGAGCAAACAGGAUUAGAUACCCCUGUAGUCCCUGUCUCUUAUAC
rnacentral:rRNA from 1 species